rnacentral:lncRNA from 1 species
AGAACAAGCUUAUAGCCGCUUACAAGAUGUUCCGUCAGAUGCUGUAAUUGAUACUUUGACAGAAAAGAACCUGAUUGGUGAUUGCGUUGUUCACUUAGGACUUUAAUUGUGUCUUAGCAUUGGGAACAUUAGGAGUACUUUUUACAAUUUUCCUAGGGAUGUGAAUGGUCAGGUUCAUGAUCUUCUCAUUAAAUGGAAGAAUUGCAAUGAAUCCAAGAUGCUGAAACUAACAGUAUACCGACUUAUGGUAGCUCUAAAACAUAUUAAAGCAGCGAAAGGACUUAAUUUUGUGGAGAAAACAUAUGGUGUGGAAAAACACCUGAUAUGUUGUAUGUUGUGUAAAAGAAGAUAACAAAACAUGUGUAAAAGUAGUAAGCAAAUAUGACUGGUACAAAAUAGUCUAUUGAUUCAUAGACAAUAGCUAGAAGUAAAUUUAUGUUCUGCUUCCCUAUAAUUAUUUGAUGAUCAAAGGGUCUGUAAACAGAUGAUGCAAUCACGUUUUUUAGUAUUGCGAGUGAGAAAGUUCAAAUUCUACAUAAUAAACAAAAGCAACGUACGCUAGUGGCUUCAUUUAAUUCAAUUAUAUAAUGAACAAUACGUUCUAUAAGCAAGGACAGUUUUUCAUUCAUACUACUUCGAAAAUUAUGGAACCAAAAAAGACUACCAUUUUCGCCAAUUAUGUAAAUAACUAUUUCAACGUCAAACAAGAUAAAUUUAUAGAAACAAACCACCUUAUCUUCUUUUUAUGUUUGAAGUUUUGUGCUUGUUAUCAACAUGGUUGUUAUUCUGAAUAUCAUUCCUAAACUGUGAACGCAUGCACUGUGUGUUCCUUCAGUUCUAGUACACGUUGUAGCUCACCUGGCAGAAAACCCAAAUUGAAUUCAUUUUGCAUCUGUCAUCCGUCUCCUGAAUAUCAUUCCUAAACUGUGAAUACAUGAACUGUGUGCUCCUUCAGUUCUAGUACACUAGUAAUUUUAGCUCACCUGGUAGAAAUACCUAUUCAGUUUUUUAUUAUUAUUUCGCGUCUGUCUUCCGUCGUCUGUUAACUUUACAGUUUUAUCCUCUGAAACGAAACUACUGGGUCAAAUUGAACGAUACUUAAAAAAAAUCAUCAUUUUUGUAAUUAAUUUGAAAAAAAUAUGUCCGAUGAUCCGCCUACUAAUCAAGGUGGUCGACAGGGCUAAAAAAAGAAGAUGGGGGGAAAAUGCCGGUUUUGCCUAUCAUAUUGAAAACCGCCAUAAAUAAAAAUAUUUUAAGGGGUCACAAGAGUUUAGAAUGUUGAGCUGCACCUAUUGUCUAUUGAGGUCAAAACUGUCAGACGACUUUUUAUAGAAGUAAUUGCACUUACAUGGUGUUUUUCCCCUUUCGAUGGCAAUGUCCAUAUCUUAAAUACAUUUUUGUUUCCACUAUAACACAAAUAAUCGGAAUAUAUUUAAACUAUCUGAGAAUCCUUACCAAAAAUCUUUUUGAGAACCUCUCGUUUUGUAUCAGAGUAUUGUUUUAGAUUUCCCUAAGCAUAUCUUGAAUAUUGCCAUUGAUAUAUACGAGAUUAGGAUAUCAUUUUGGGAUCUUUACUCGCAGUACCUCUAGUUUUACUGGGUUUUUUUUACUGUUUCUUCUGAAAUUGUCUAAUGUUGUAUAGCAAUAAUAUUGCACAUGAUUUUAAUGUACAUAACCCAAUAAUAAGUAAAUUUACAAGUUUUUCCUUUUUAGUUUCCAAGCUUAUAUUUUUCAAAGGAAGAAUAGAAUGACCAAUACCUUAUUUUGUUUAGCAUAAAACAGGGCAUGCAGAAUAUUUGUCAAUUAUCAAUACGUGCUGGGUUUUUUUUCUUAACAUGAUGGAGUUGUAUGUUGUAACUAGAGGCUCUAAAGAGCCUGUGUUGCUCACCUUGGUAUAUGUGAAUAUUAAACAAAGGAAGCAGAUGGAUUCAUGACAAAAUUGUGUUUUGGUGUUUGUGAUGUGUUUGUACAUCUUACUUUACUGAACCUUCUUGCUGCUUACAAUUAUCUCUAUCUAUAAUGAACUUGGCCCAGUAGUUUCAGUGGAAAAUGUUAGUUAAAAUUUACAAAUUUUAUGAAAAUUGUAAAAAAUUGACUAUAAAGGACAAUAACUCCUUAGGGGUCAAUUGACCAUUUCCGUCAUGUUAUUUGUAAAUCUUACUUUGCUCAACAUUAUUUCUGUUUACAGUUAAUCUCUAUCUAUAAUAAUAUUCAAGAUAAUAACCAAAAACAGCAAAAUUUCCGUAAAUUUACCAAUUCAGGGAGAGCAACCCAACAACGGAUUGUCAGAUUCCUCUGAAAAUUUCAGGGCAGAUAGAUCUUGACCUGAUAAACAAUUUUCUCCGUGUCAGAUUUGUUCUAAAAGCUGCGGUUUCAGAGUUAUAAGCCGAAAUCUACAUUUCACCCCUAUGUUCUAUUUUUAGCCAUGGCGGCCAUCUUGGUUGGUGGGCCGGGUCACAGGACACAAUUUUUGAACUAAAUAUCCUAAUGAUGAUUGUGGCCAAGUUUGGUUUAAUUUGGUCCAGUAGUUUCAGAGGAGAAGAUUUUUGUAAAAGAUAACUAAGAUUUACGAAAAAUGAUUAAACAUUGACUAUAAAGGGCAAUAACUCCUAAAGGGAUCAACAGACCAUUUUGCUCUUGUUGACUUAUUUGUAGAUCUUACUUUGCUGAACAUUGUUGCUGUUUACACAGUUUAUCUCUAUCUAUAAUAAUAUUCAAGAUAACCAGAAACAGUAAAAUUUCCUUAAAAUUACCAAUUCAGGGGCAGCAACCUAUCAACGGGUUGUCCAAUUCAUCUAAAAUUUCAGGGCAGAUAGAAAUUGACCUGAUAAACAAUUUUACCCUGUCAGAUUUGCUCUAAAUGCUUUGGUUUUUGAGUGAUAAGCCAAAAACUGCAUUUUACCCCUAUGUUCUAUUUUUAGCCAUGGCGGCCAUCAUGGUUGGUUGGCCGGGUCAUCGGACACAAUUUUUUAACUAAAUACCCCAAUGAUGAUUGUGGCCAAGUUUGGUUUAAUUUGGCCUAGUAGUUUCAGAGAAGAUUUUUGUAAAAGAUGACUAAGAUUUACGAAAAAUGAUUAACAAGAAUGUGUCCACAGUACACGGAUGCCCCACUCGCACUAUCAUUUUCUAUGUUUAAAGGACUGUGAAAUUGGAAUAAAUUCUCUAAUUUGGCAUUAAAAUUAGAAUGAUCUUAUCAAAGAGAACAUGUAUACUAAGUUUCAAGUUGAUUGGACUUCUACUUUAUCAAAAACUACCUUGACCAAAAACUUUAACCUGAAAUUUGCACUAUCAUUUUCUAUGUUCAGUGAACCGUAAAAUUGGGGUCAAAACUCUAAUUUGGCAUUUAAAUUAGAAAGAUCAUAUCAUAGGGCACAUGUAUACUAAGUUUCAAGUUGAUUGGACUUCAACUUCAUCAAAAACUACCUUGACCAAAAACUUUAACCUGAAGCCAAAAACUUUAACCUGAAAUUUGCACUAUCAUUUUCUAUGUUCAGUGAACCGUAAAAUUGGGGUCAAAACUCUAAUUUGGCAUUUAAAUUAGAAAGAUCAUAUCAUAGGGCACAUGUAUAUACUAAGUUUCAAGUUGAUUGGACUUCAACUUCAUCAAAAACUACCUUGACCAAAAACUUUAACCUGAAGCCAAUAACCUGAAGCCAAAAACUUUAACCUGAAAUUUGCACUAUCAUUUUCUAUGUUCAGUGAACCGUAAAAUUGGGGUCAAAACUCUAAUUUGGCAUUUAAAUUAGAAAGAUCAUAUCAUAGGGCACAUGUAUACUAAGUUUCAAGUUGAUUGGACUUCAACUUCAUCAAAAACUACCUUGACCAAAAACUUUAACCUGAAGCCAAAAACUUUAACCUGACAUGGGACAGACGGACGAACGGACGAACGAACAGACGACGAACGGACGAACGAACAGACGGACGAACGGACGCACAGACCAGAAAACAUAAUGCCCCUACUACUAUCGUAGACGGGGCAUAAAAAUUGACUAUAAAGGGCAAUAACUCCUAAAGGGAUCAACAGACCAUUUUAGCCCUGUUGACUUAUUUGUAGAUCUUACUUUACUGAACAUUUUUGCUGUGUACAGUUUAUCUCUAUGAUAAUAUUCAAUAUAAUAACCAAAAAACAGCAAAAUUUCCUUAAAAUUACUAAUUCAGGGGCAGCAACCUAUCAACGGGUUGUCCGAUUCAUCUCAAAAUUUUAGAGCAGAUAGAUCUUGACCUGGUUAACAAUUUUACUCGUCAGAUUUGCUCUUAAUGCUUUGGUUUUUGAGUUAUAAGCCAAAAACUGCAUUUUACCCCUAUGUUUUAUUUUUAGCCAUGGCGGCCAUCUUGGUUGGUUGGCCGGGUCACCGGACACAAUUUUUAACCCUAAUGAUGAUUUUGGCCAUGUUUGGUUAAAUUUGGCCCAGCAGUUUCAGAGGAGAAGAUUUUUGUAAAAGUUAACGACGAUGGACGACGACGGACGGCGGACGCCAAGUGAUGAGAAAAGCUCACUUGGCCCUUCGGGCCAGAUGAGCUAAAAAUUAUAUUUGUAUACUAAGAUGUUGGAACCAUCUGUUUUGCCUUGGUUUACAGUUUACUUGUUUUUAAUUAUCAGGUCAUCUCUCUGUAUGUCAGUUCUCGCAUCACAUAACAUGAAGUGAAGGAUCUCCCAAAAUUAACAUUGGAAUGAAUCAAAAAUGCAUAUAAGGAGUCGAUUGUUAGAACAGACUCACCUCUUCUCGUCCAAUGAAAAGUCAGUUUUACACCCUCUAAUUUUCAUAUAAAUCAGAUGUGGAUACUGAAAUUUCCAAAGAUCUAAGUAAAUGCAACCCAUGUCUCUUAAAAAGUGCAUUAUCAUUAUAGCGUAUUUGACUUCUCUAUCCAUUACACAACUAUUUCACACCAUUAACAAAUUAAAAGAAAAAAUAGGCCAAAUCUUCACAACUUCAAUACUUUUAUAAAUAAUGGAAAACGAGGGGACACCAUUGAUUUCUAGUUUUCAUUAAUGCCAGUCUUAUCAGACUCUAAACAUGAGGCACCAUCUGAUUAACAACUAUACAUUUUUUGUAGGUCACCAUAUUGCAAAUAUUGUUUUUUUCUUCUUAUGAUCAAAUAUGAUUUUGUGAAUUUUUAUGGUAAAUGAAAGAAAAUAUUUUUGUGAAAAAAUUACGGGUAUGGUAUUUAUUAUAAGGAACAGAAUAAGGUAACGAAAUGACUCGGUACUGAUUUGUCUUGGUCCCGAAAUGUCUCCCGCCCUGUCUAUCAAUCCUGUCUACUAAAUAUGUCUUCUACGAUGCCAAACUGUCUAUCAAUCAUGUCUACUAAAUAUGUUUCCUACGGUGCCAAACUGUCUAUUAAACUUGGAGCUGAACCUUCCGAGGUGGCAAACUUACUGUCCUGUAAAGUUACCUUAUCUACAAAGCGCAUCAUUGAUUCGGAUUAGUAAGACUGGUUUCCGAGAAUAGUAUACCUUUUACCUGCUAAAAAAGUACUUGACAAAGAACCAGUUAAAAAGUAUCGGCUGCAAGAUAAACAUGUUGAAGAAAAAUGUUUUGCAUUUGAAUGAACAGAAUACAGAAACAUGUCAAAUUAAUAUUUGUUUUCUUGUUUUCUGUUUAUAAUUAUUUGUUUAUCAAAAUUGGAAUAUAUUUUUUUUUAGAAUAAUUGCACUUGUCCCAACGGACAAGCUUGAUACAGCUCUUACUUGCCCGACCUUUUUUCCCUCUGGUACCGGGCAAUCGGACAAGCGUUAUUGUCGAGGCAUGGUUUCAUAAACAGAAUGAUAAGGAAGGGAUAUCAUUGGUUUCAGCCUUUGUUGUAUUAACAGAAUUACAUGGAAGGGAUAUCAUUGGUUUCAACCUUUGUUUCAUUAACAGAACGACAAGGAAGGGAUAUCAUUGGUUUCAACUUUUGCUUCAUUAACAGAACGACAAGGAAGGGAUGCCAUUGGUUUCAACCUUUGUUUCAUUAACAGAACGACAAGGAAGGAAUAUAAUUGAUUUCAACCAGUGUUUCAUUAACAGAACGACAAGGGAUACUAGACUAUUCAAGGAAAAUAAAACAUUUUGUAAAACCGUAUGGCCCCGACAAUGUGCCAUUUUACCAAAAGGAGGCAUACACGAUAAAAGGGGGACAAAAGAUAGCAUAGGGACAGUCAAACUUAUAAAUCGAAAAUAAACUGACAACGCAAUGGCUAGAAAUGAAAAAGACAAACAAUAGUACACAUGACACAUCAUAGAAAACUAAAGAAUAAGCAUCACGAACCCC